GUAGUCUCGCACAGAUGCAUAUCAAUAAGCGGAGGAAAAGAAACUAACAAGGAUUCCCCUAGUAACGGCGAGUGAAGCGGGAAGAGCUCAAAUUUGGAAUCUUAAAGGGUUUCCCUUUACGAAUUGUAGUUUAAAGAAGUGUUUUCUGUUGAGGUUUUGGUAAAAGUUCUUUGGAAUAGGACAUCAUAGAGGGUGAGAAUCCCGUAUUUGACCUUUACUCUCGACUUUGUGAUACACUUUCAAAGAGUCGGAUUGUUUGGGAAUGCAGUCCAAAAUGGGUGGUAAAUUUCAUCUAAAGCUAAAUAUUGGCGAGAGACCGAUAGCGAACAAGUACCGUGAGGGAAGAUGAAAAGAACUUUGAAAAGAGAGUUAAACAGUACGUGAAAUUGUCAAAAGGGAAGCGUUUGACACCAGUGUUGUUUUUCUGAAAAUCAAUUAAAGAACUGUUUAUGCUAAGUUGUUUAGACUUUAUCAGCUAACUGUUUAGUUUUGAGCUUUUCUUUAAUGCACUUUUCAGUUAACAAGUCAACAUCAAUUUCUUUUGCUGUAAAAAAGCUUGAGGAAGGUGGCUUGAGAUUCGUCUUAAGUGUUUAUAGCCUCUUGCCUAUGCAGUCGGAGAGAUUGAGGUCUGCAGCGUAGAUCCUUCGGGGCUAAAUGCAUUUGUGCUAAGUUAUAGCAUUUUAUAGACAACUUGUUGACUAUGAUUUGUCUUGUAGCUUACUCGCUUAUGCUAUUUUACCUACGCUUAGGAUGUUGAUGUGAUACUGCGAGCA
rnacentral:rRNA from 1 species